rnacentral:misc_RNA from 1 species
GAUGAAGAACGCAGUGAAAUGCGAUAAGUAGUGUGAAUUGCAGAAUUCAGUGAAUCAUCGAAUCUUUGAACGCACAUUGCGCCCCUUGGUAUUCCAUGGGGCAUGCCUGUUCGAGCGUCAUUUGUACCUUCAAGCCUUGCUUGGUGUUGGGUGUUUGUCUCGCCUCUGCGCGCAGACUCGCCUCAAAACAAUUGGCAGCCGGCGUAUUGAUUUCGUAGCGCAGUACAUCUCGCGCUUUGCACUCACAACGGCGGCGUCCAAAAGUACAUUUUUACACUCUUGACCUCGGAUCAGGUAGGGAUACCCGCUGAACUUAAGCAUAUCAAUAAGCGGAGGA